GAUGAACGCUGGCGGCGUGCUUAACACAUGCAAGUCGAACGAAGCGCCUUGGACAGAUUCUUCGGAUGAAGUCUUUGGUGACUGAGUGGCGGACGGGUGAGUAACGCGUGGGUAACCUGCCUCAUACAGGGGGAUAACAGUUAGAAAUGGCUGCUAAUACCGCAUAAGCGCACGGUACUGCAUGGUACAGUGUGAAAAACUCCGGUGGUAUGAGAUGGACCCGCGUUGGAUUAGCUAGUUGGCAGGGUAACGGCCUACCAAGGCGACGAUCCAUAGCCGGCCUGAGAGGGUGGACGGCCACAUUGGGACUGAGACACGGCCCAGACUCCUACGGGAGGCAGCAGUGGGGAAUAUUGCACAAUGGGGGAAACCCUGAUGCAGCGACGCCGCGUGAGCGAAGAAGUAUUUCGGUAUGUAAAGCUCUAUCAGCAGGGAAGAAAAUGACGGUAC
rnacentral:rRNA from 1 species